CCUACGGGAGGCAGCAGUGGGGAAUAUUGCACAAUGGGGGGAACCCUGAUGCAGCGACGCCGCGUGAGUGAAGAAGUAUUUCGGUAUGUAAAGCUCUGUCAGCAGGGAAGAAGAAAGACGGUACCUGACCAAUAAGCCCCGGCUAACUACGUGCCAGCAGACGCGGUAAUACGUAAGGGGCAAGCUUUAUCCGGAUUUACUGGGUGUAAAGGGAGUGUAUGCGGUUAAUCAAGUCAGCAGGGAAAACCCAGGGCUCAAACUUGGUACUGCUUGUGAAACUGAGUAGCUAGAGUGCAGGAGAGGUAAGCGGAAUUCGUAGUGUAGCGGUGAAAUGCGUAGAUAUCACGAGGAACACCAGUUGCGAAGGCAGCUUACUGGACUGCAACUGACGUUGAGGCUCGAAAGCGUGGGGAGCAAACAGGAUUAGAUACCCCAGUAGUC
rnacentral:rRNA from 1 species